CCUACGGGAGGCAGCAGUGAGGAAUAUUGGUCAAUGGACGGAAGUCUGAACCAGCCAUGCCGCGUGCAGGAAGACGGCGCUAUGAGUUGUAAACUGCUUUUGUACAAGGGUAAACCUGAAUACGUGUAUUCAGCUGAAAGUACUGUACGAAUAAGGAUCGGCUAACUCCGUGCAAGCAGCCGCGGUAAUACGGAGGAUCCAAGCGUUAUCCGGAUUUAUUGGGUUUAAAGGGUGCGUAGGCGGAUUUAUAAGUUAGAGGUGAAAUGUCCGAGCUUAGCUCGGGAACUGCCUCUACUACUGUUGAUCUAGAGAGUAGAUGCGGUAGGCGGAAUGUAUGGUGUAGCGGUGAAAUGCUUAGAGAUCAUACAGAACACCGAUUGCGAAGGCAGCUUACCAAGCUAUAUCUGACGUUGAGGCACGAAAGCGUGGGUAGCAAACAGGAUUAGAUACCCGAGUAGUC
rnacentral:rRNA from 1 species